CCUUGAUCAUUGCUGCAUGAAGUGCCCAUCUUGCCACGAAAACCUGAGUUGUGGGAGAAAAAAAAGGCGAGCCAUCGGACUUAAGAACGACGAGGAUCGCGAGUGGAACGAGACGAAUGAAGAGGCCUGAAAAUACAGAGUGAGAUCCAGCUCCAAGGUCUCUUUCAGUGGAUGUUGUUGGUGAAGGGAUGGAGUGGACUACAGAUGCACUCUGGAAUACUCUAGACCACAGGAAGCGUACAAAUGGCCUUCUGAGCAAAGAAGGUUUUGGAAUCCAAGCCUUUGGAUCGGCGAGCAAUUCUGGAUCAAAACCAUCCCGGCUCAUCUUCUCCAUGACCGACACUUCAGGCACACCCACCCGAAUCAUCUUGAAAUACUUGCUCAAAUCACGAUGCUCAGAAGCUUGCACCAUUUUCAUGUUAUCAAUGGCCUCCAAUGAUUCGGCUGGCACUUCCGUAUUUAUAUCUGGUUUAUUAUCUCCUUCAACCGGAUCGUGUUUCACUUCCUCAUUUUUGACAUUGGACUCCAACUUGAGAUCUAUCGAUUCCCCAGGCUUUAUGGCCACUUCUGGCAGUGAUUCUAAAGUCAGAAUUUGCUUCUUGAGAUGUGCUCGUCGAAAUUGACUGCACUAGCUAAGCUAUCUAUUCUGCCUUCUCUAGCAUAACAAGAUGCCUGGCUCUGGUUUCUUUCUUAAUUGGCGCCAAACAAAACCUAGCCAGGCUAUGGCAACAAUAUCCCGUCCCUCUUUGACCAUUGCCCAACUGAAAACAAUGCAGAAAGAAUUGUCAACAUCCAGCCAGCCAAGCCUAUAAAGACCUUGAGCCAGAACGUCCUUGCCCAAACGUUGGCCUUCGUUAAAAUAUCGCUGUUCCUGGUAUCGAAUUUGAGGAGGAGGUCUUUUAGUGGAAACUUGUCACAUAACGGACAAAUGUCAAAGCCAGUGAGGAAAGCUUGCUCAUUUGGUCACGUUUCAAACCAAAGUGUGAUGCCAUUAAGGAAAACUCUGAUGGC